CAGUAGCCGCGGUAAUACGUAGGGUGCGAACGUUAAUCGGAGUCACUGGCGUAAAGCGUGCGCAGGCGGUUGUGUAAGACAGGUGUGAAGCCCCCGGGCUUAACCUGGGAACUGCGCUUGUGACUGCACAGCUAGAGUAUGGCAGAGGGGGGUGGAAUUCCACGUGUAGCAGUGAAAUGCGUAGAGAUGUGGAGGAACACCGAUGGCGAAGGCAGCCCCCUGGGCCAAUACUGACGCUCAUGCACGAAAGCGUGGGGAGCAAACAGGAUUAGAUACCCCAGUAGUCCCUGUCUCUUAUACA
rnacentral:rRNA from 1 species